rnacentral:rRNA from 1 species
CAGCCGUAAACUAUGCGCGUUAGGUGUACUGGUGACCACGAGUCACCGGGGUGCCGAAGGGAAACCGUGAAACGUGCCGCCUGGGAAGUACGGUCGCAAGGCUGAAACUUAAAGGAAUUGGCGGGGGGAGCACCACAACGGGUGGAGCCUGCGGUUUAAUUGGACUCAACGCCGGAAAUCUCACCGGAUAAGACAGCGGAAUGAUUGCCGGGCUGAAGACUCUGCAUGACUAGCUGAGAGGAGGUGCAUGGCGUAGACGUC